GAUAGCCUACGGGGGGCAGCAGUAGGGAAUAUUGCUCAAUGGGGGAAACCCUGAAGCAGCAACGCCGCGUGGAGGAUGAAGGUUUUCGGAUUGUAAACUCCUUUUGUUAGAGAAGAUAAUGACGGUAUCUAACGAAUAAGCACCGUCUAACUCCGUGCCAGCAGCCGCGGUAAUACGGAGGGUGCAAGCGUUACUCGGAAUCACUGGUCGUAAAGAGCGCGUAUGCGGGAUA
rnacentral:rRNA from 1 species